rnacentral:lncRNA from 1 species
GACUGGACAGCAUAUCUGGUCAUGCUUAGUGUGGACGUGUAUAUUCAAGGACUAACAAAUUCGCUUCUGGUCAUGCUUAGUGUGUACGUUAGAAGAAGUAUAUUCCAGGACUCAUAAAUUAGCGGAAAAGUGAUCCAUGCCAUAGCUCGGAGAGAAAGGAGACUCGCGGCCGAUGCUAAUGUGAUUUCGUUUUUGAGUGUUGGGGUUGUAAGCUAGAGUUUUUGAGUGUUGUGAAUAAGCUGUUAAUAAGUGAGCAGGGUUGGUUGUUACCCUUAUUACAGAAGUCGUGCUCUUCCAUUCUCUUGCACUCACAUUCAACGCACUAACGCUUAUUGGUGUUUCGGAAGAAUAAUAAGAUAGGUAGCUUCACUCAGGCCCAACUAUAGUAGUAGCAAUAGAAGU